CUAAGGACCACCCUAAUAUACAUAUAAUAAUUCUAUAUUCACGUCCCACGAGGGAAUUCGUUCUUCAAAGUAUAUAACGGGUGACGAAUAAUUAGUAACAAAGGUAGGCGGUGCACCUCGCACCAUAUUUCACGCACAUAUAAGUUUCAAUAAGUUGUGCCGCGUAACUUGUGAGUGUGCGUAGUUUGAGAUAUAUAGAAAAACCUGUACAUGAGGCACAAGAUAUCAGAAGUAAGCGUAUUGGUGCAGCAUUAUCACUGCAUAUUUCAUAAAAUCAGUCCCGGGGAGCAUAAGCUCCGGCUUAGGCUCAGUGUACGAUCGACGUUUAAAGAAGUUUUACGUUCUGCUGCUCCCCGGUAGCACGCAGGUUCCACCCGUUAUAAGAUUCCAUCUAUACAUGUUAUUCGCAAAUACAUAUCACGUGUAAAGUACAUAAUUUAUUGUACAUAUUCUUCAAAUAUACGCCAGAUACUCCACAGUACGAGUAUAUACUAUGGAUAUGUGCAUUUUACGCGAGUUAGUUAGUUACUCUCGUUCGUUCGAGGCGAACGUGCCUGCACACUUUACUCUCACUGCGUACGGACUCGGCGCAAGCUGCAGCUUCCGGCUGUACCACUGUAACGCUUAUACAUCGGGGAGGAAUGAUCGCGAGAAACGCUACUACUUAUGUUGGGUACACCUGAACUUCGCUACAGGUAUUUUACAAUAAGUGCGCUAGACUUUUCAGUACUGUUACGUGUAUAGUAUAGGUACGACCUGUGCCGAUUAUAUUAACCGUACAUAUACAGGUAUGUAUGUAACAAUUACACGGGUAUCUACCUAUAGCACAUACGACCGGAUUUAUUACAUAUAUGUAUAUACAAGUGACGUAUACAACGUGGGAUGAUGCGUGAAUUAAAAUUGGAAAUUUGAUAAAAAUUGAAACGAAAGAGCUCGCGACGAUACCGAUCCGAUGUAUAACAUGGGUACAUACAUGUAUAUUCCCAUGUAUGGAACGAAGUCCCAUUUUUUAUUUUUCAUUUUUACAUGCAACGCGUACAUGAGCUUGGUUAUACAUACGAGUGGAAGCUGAUAACGUUUAUGGUGGCUGCGGACACCGUAAUACGGCCGAAGAAAGGUCCGAUGCAGUCGCGUUGACCAUUCCAUCGCUAUCUCUUAGUCUAUAUACUUCUUUUCUCUUUUUCUUUUCCUUUUUUUCGAGCGUUCAUUUUUUGUUUUUAGCUACGGGAGAGCGUACACGUACCGGGUUCGUAACAAUUAUAUUGUCCAGCGGUCGGAGUUCGUCCGUGAAAAUAUUUUCGACUUUUGAAACAGUGGUGGUUCUACACACCGUAUACGUACACGUGCAUAUAAACCGUAUACCGACUCGCACCCGCACUUGCUUAUGAUAUAUCUUCCAGCGCUAUACGCUGGAGACGUCGUAUGUGUACAUAUAUGUAUGUAACGUAUGUGCAUGCACGUACUAUGUACGCAUAUAAUAUGUGUACAUUGACUUAUGUAGACGGACCAACUUCGCUUAUCUUCUUCCUUGCAAAAAUUCACUCGCAUGCAGCGCAACUUGCUCUUCUUACUGCUGAAUAUGUGGUCAUAUAAUAUACGGUACAUAUGUAUAAUACGAGCAUAUUACAUUUACCAAAUAUAUACCCAUGUGAUCCGCUAAGAUUUUUUUCGUGUACAUACGUAUCAAUGUACAUACUUUUAUUAUGUAUUCUCGCUAUAGGUAUAUGUAUAUAUUCCAAAUACAUGGGCAAUAUACAGUGAAUAUACAUAUCUACGUACAUAGUCGUUGAUGGGUAUGUAUAUUAGCUUACAGCUAGUUGAAAAGAUAAGGUGAAAAAAAUAGAGGAAAAAUGUAGACCAAAAAAAAAAAAAACUAGUUUCCACGCAACUCUAUAUAUGCGCGCUAUAUUUAAUAGACCCCGUGUAAUAAUCGCCUGACUGUAACGAACGACGAGAAUUGAAUUUUGAAAAAAAACAAAAGAAUUGCGAGCGUUAAUUUUUUUUUUUUUUCAAAUAAUCAUCGAGGAGACAGGUAAUUUAUUUUUUUUUGUUUUCUACGACAAUACGGAUUCGGACGGGCGGCAUAAACGAACUACUCGAGGCGCAGACGCGAGAGAUGUUCCGCCCCCGUUGGAACCUGAUUUGAAAGGAGGAUUCCCAACCUCGCGUAUCGUUGGCGCAUCGAAAAGGGCUGCGCGAAGUUGCUGAGGAUGCCGCAGAAAUCGGUACAAGGGGGUGCAGAGCGCGCAGGAGAAUGAAAUAUUAUCGCUGUUCGCGUGUCACACGUGACAUCGAGGGGUAGCAACUGGAACCGCUUCGGAUAACUUUAUCUCCUUUGUAUUCUCUCUAAAUUUUUGUUUCUGAAUUACGCCCUUCCGGCCGCAGCGUCCGACGUUCACGUUGGACUAUGAAAAAUUUGAAAUUGCGUCGGUGACUCGAACGACGUACAAAAGAACGUAAACAAUAUCGUAUGCAACAACUCAUGUUCAUCUAUUUCGUAUGAAAUAUAUAGACAAGUUUCUAUACGAAAGUUGGACUUUCGGACCUUCGGGUAUAUACGUGUACUGAGUCAUGUAUCGCGUAUACGUACGUACACGAGUGUUUGUACGUUCGAACAAAAAAAAAAAACAAAAUAAAACCGAAAGUCCGAAGACUAUUCGUCUCGUGACAGCGUAGAAGUCGUUGGUCAUUUAUAUGUUGUUUAUACGGCCGCGGCGACGUACGACUCGCGUUCCUCCAUUUUUCUAUACGCGUAUCUAUUCUAUCGUACAUGUUACAUUUCGUUUACAUAGACCAACACAUUUAACUUUAUUGUUACAUGUAUUCGCCUUCGACCUAAUUGUCCACGCCGCCCGCCUCCUCCUCGACUUCUGCUACACGUUACAUGUAUAUGUUCAAAAACGUAGAUAUUUAUUAAAACUCGUAGAGUUACACUGCGUGUAUAUAAUAUACGUUAUGCAUACAUGUAUAAAGUGUACCUUGGUUUGACUUCAUUUCGCCGUUUUACACUCGGUCGAGUCUUCGCCGUAGCGUGUAUAUAACGCAUACUCGUAUGCGUAUGUGCUCCGCAGAGAAAUUACCGAUAAGAAAACUAGCCUAGCAGUUUUCUAGCUCAUUCGCUACCGUGGCCUGCACCGUAAGACGCGACCACCGAUCACCCCUGCAUCGCGUGUUACGUGCGUAUAAAGCCGUUUAUAUAUAUAUGACGAAAAUUCAGCACAUGGAUAUGUACAUACAUACCCAUGUAAUUAGUCGUACCUAAGGAAAAGAAGCUAUACGUAUACGUACAUAGGAGAGUACGUAUGUAACGAUGUAAAACUUGGCGCGAUAAUUAGCUAAAGUAUGUUCGGCAAAAUAGCGAUUCUACAUGUAAUUACGAUAUAUGGGGACACACGCGUAUUUUACUAACAUCAAAAUUAUACCAGGUGUAAUCGACGUGUAUAAGUACCGUCAUUGACUCAAAUACACGAUAUAUUAUACACGUGGUAUAUUUGUAUGCACCGUGCAUUAUUGUAUGGGAAAGAUAAUACAAUACGUGUCAUCGCCACGUAUGUAAUCUUAACGAUAACGCACGCGAAAUAAAUAAAAUAAAUAAUUAAAUAAGUAAUUAAAAAAGAAACCAUAUACUGUACGUGGUAUACUAGAAUUGUUAGGAAAACAAAAAAUUGAAAGAAAACUAGUUUAAUUCUAAAAAUGACUUUACUAGUACGAUUCGUUCUGUGCUUGAAAUUUACAUAAAUAUACAUAUAUGUAGAAAUGGAACGAUUUACACAAGCUUUCUUCUACACUGUAUACAUAAAUAUUAUAAAUAAAGUUCGACGGAUGCGGUUUUUAACACCGCCAUAUGCGUCCGCCCCGCGGUUUUCAUCAUACGCUAUUUGAAACGCGUGAAUACCGAGUAUUUAUGUGAAAUUGUUGUUGCUGUUGUUAUUAUUAUUAAUUUUCAACUCCACGAUUAUAUAAAAUUGCCGAGUGCGCUAACGUAUGCUAUCCUAAUAUAUUAUAGAAUUUAAACGCUUAGAAACGGGAGAAAUUUUCUUUAUUCUUUUGUCUUUCAGUCUUUCUAUUAAUUUUCUAUUAAAUUUCGCACAGGCAUACACGAUAUGAUUUCUAUGUACCCGUCGCUCCGUAUAUACUUCGUAUACGUCGUACUUUAUAUACCGGCGGCAGUAUAACAAAUAUCAUCGAAGUUAAUGCCGCGUGUGAUUGAAGUUCAGGAGCAAAACUUCACUUGCAUAUUAUACAUAUGUAUAUACCUACAUAUGUGCAUAACACAUACUGUAACAACGUUACAUGGUAUGUGCGUCUGACAGAAAGAAAGAAUCUUUGAAAUUCAAUAAUUGAAAAUUUUUCACCCUGUGCAGAUAAAAUUUACAUCCCUGCAUACGGAGAAUGUACAAGUUGUAUAGGACGUAGAUAUACAAUCUGUAUGUACAAUGCAACCAAACUUUUAGUUUCCUAUGAGUCCAGAAUAAAAAAUUAAAUGAUAUGCACAUAAUGUUCACGUCAACUUUUGUCUCGUUAAAAAUUAAAUCAUUAAUUUCCCGAAUGUCCUGUAUCGCAGGAUACGUGCUGAUAUAAUUAAAUGAAAAGGAUAUCAUAUGCACAGACGCAAUCGUCCCUGCAACACGUGUGCAUGUGUACGAAUACGUGUAUAUCGUGUAUAAUCCAUAUGCGAAUAGACUCGAACGAUUAAAAUGAUUGUGGAAAAAAAUCACAACCAUGUUCGGGAAUCAUAUAACGUAAUCCGCAUGAGUAUAAUCCUGUACAUGUAUAGUAAAUAUAUAUAUAUGUUAUAUAUAUAUAUAUAUACAUAUAAUAUGUACAACUGUAUAUAGUGUAUUCUUAUCGGUCCUCACGGGGGAACUUUAUCACUCUUGAUAUACUCAGCAUCGUAUAUACAUCCCCCGCGAUCGUAAGAGGGGAACCAGUGUGGCACGAGCCUUCGCUUAGGAUUGUCCUAUAUUUAAAUAAAAUCAAACUUCGCACGUAUUUUCGUCUUUUAUUUCGAUCUUUUUUUUCUUCUUCUCCUUCUCUCUCUCUCUCUCUAUUUUUUUUUUUUUUUUUUCUUCUUCUCUGCUAUUUCAUUCCCCGCACAAAUCUAUGUAUAAUACAAAUGUUAAUUUCGCAACUGUUUGAUCGAUAAACGAAGCUCAAUUCGCGACACACAUUAUCACCAACAGCUAAGUAUAUUAAUGUUUGUUUCUGUAAAAGUUGUUGUUUUUUUUUUUUUCUGGUUUUUGUUUUUCGAUCUGCUACUCACCGUACUGAUCAGUGUGCUGAAACUGGACGUUCUCCUGCUUCGCCAUAUACCUGCAACAAGUAAGCGGAAAAUGCCUCUUCAACGCUCGCUCCUCAGGUGCGAAGGAUAUAUGUAGUUGGAGAUGACGUUUUAUACGAUCUUUGUUAUUAUUUAUUUAUUGAUUUAUCUAUUUACUCGUCAAGUUUUCAUUUAUUUUAUACCGGACACUUCGUGUACUUGUACUUCGUUUAUUUUUUUGUUUACCACACGUUGAGAAAUCAGAGAAAAUGAAAACAUGUACAUGUAUGAUUUUGUUGUUAUCCGAUCGAUACGUCACGCGAUUGUUACGUACAUUCAACUUCUUUUUUUUUUUUUUAUCGGAAGUUAACUACGAAAGAUUUCCUCCCUCCUUUUUCGUCUUUCUUUCACGCCGUCGCUUAUCCUUUCGAUUAUGUACUGUGUAUUGAAUUCGCGAUUCGCGAACCAGAGGCAACGAUGUUGCCGAUGAUGGUUGUUACAGUUGAGUCGUGGUGAACGAUGAGACAGACGGUGCAGAAGGAAACGAACAAGUCGUGGUAGCAAAUGCUGAUGGCAAACGCGUGUUUCUGCGGUGCUGCGGGGCGAUGAGAAACGGUCAAGACGGACGACAUACUGGUGGGAGUUGAUCGCGGCUAAACUUUAAUGGUUUGCUACUGUUGCUACUAUACUGCUACUGCUGCUGCUGCUGCUGCUGCUGCUGCUGCUGCUGCUGCUGCUAGUUGACCAAAGGGGAAUAAGAAGAAAAAAAAAAGUAGAAGAAGAAAAAACUCUACUCUUAUCAAAUAACAGAAAGACCCCCCUACUACUACUACUACUACUACUACAUCAUCGGGUCGCGAUGGUCAACCCUAGACCGAGUUGUAUUAUAACCGCUUUUGCUGCCGCUACACCGCUGCGAUGACGACGACGACGACGAUGAUGAUGAUUCUGGACUCGUUCGCAGGAGAAAUAAAAUAAAAUAAAAUCGUAGUAUUAACAUGGAAUGUUUAGGUGGAUCGUUGCAUGUUGCUAUGGAACUAAAUGAAAACGGUUUAUGAUAAUAUUAUGGAUUCUGUAUUAGCCGCGGUGAGAAUGAAUGAAAUUCUGACGAUGUGAUCGCGAGCGUGGAAUUAUUUAAACUAUAGUUGUAUAAUAUAAGAAUGAUGGAAUGAAAAACCUUUGUGACGUAGUUAAUUAUUGUUAUUGAGAACUUGCAGACCAGACUGUAUAGCAAGAGUAUCGUAUUUCAAAUUACUAUACUAUAAUAUACGUAUGCAUACGUUGUAUUGAAAUGAAGAAUGAUAGAAAGAAAUUGCUCGACUAUAA